GCCGAAGUGGCGAAAUUGGUAGACGCGCACGUUUCAGGGGCGUGUGGCCCCCGGCCAUGUGGGUUCGAGUCCCACCUUCGGCA
rnacentral:tRNA from 1 species